rnacentral:rRNA from 1 species
UUAUCGGAGAGUUUGAUCCUGGCUCAGGACGAACGCUGGCGGCGUGCCUAAUACAUGCAAGUCGAGCGGACAGAUGGGAGCUUGCUCCCUGAUGUUAGCGGCGGACGGGUGAGUAACACGUGGGUAACCUGCCUGUAAGACUGGGAUAACUCCGGGAAACCG